AAACCAGCACCUCAAGUGGUCAGGAGGUUUAUUGGGCCUAAAGCAUCCGUAGCCUGCUCUGUAAGUUUUCGGUUAAAUCUGUACGCUCAACGUACAGGCUGCCGGGAAUACUGCAGAGCUAGGGAGUGGGAGAGGUAGACGGUACUCGGGAGGAAGUGGUAAAAUGCUUUGAUCUCUCGAUGACCACCUGUGGCGAAGGCGGUCUACCAGAACACGUCCGACGGUGAGGGAUGAAAGCUGGGGGAGCAAACCGGAUUAGAUACCCGAGUAGUCC
rnacentral:rRNA from 1 species